GUAACACUUCACAAACAGCAAGUGCUGACCGCCCAACUCAAGCGCCAUCUCGGUGGUCCGCCGUCUAGUUCGAGAAUGAUCUCCCACUGACACCGCAUUAAGCACUCCGGAAUUGUAAACCCGGAAAGCCCGAGAGGACGGGGCCCAGCAGCCGGGGUUGGGGUGGUUCUCCUCCCCUUAGCCGAGGUGACCGAGGAUGCGUGGGAAUAAUGUCCCCGUUCCGGAGGUAGGAUCGCACCGGUGUCGCUUCUGUUCCCUAGCCAGGGGGAGGAAUUACGACUGCCCCCUUUCUCUUCGGGAGCUGAGAUUAAUACAGCCCUCUGACAAUUCCUUGUCUCUGCUUCUCGUUCAACGGAGAAUCCCAUCUUCAUCGAGCCUCUUGGGAGACGGCAUCUCCUCUGCCCCGACUACCCAUUCUCAGUUUGGAAGCCUUGAUCAAACAUAGCGCUGAAGAAAUCAGUGAGAAUGAAAGCCAAUAAAAUCCCCAAGACAUGAUGGCAUGGUUUUGUCUAUGGAUGACAUGCAACACUUGAUGGGUUUCUUUAAAGGACUGCCCAAGACCUCAUACAAGGUUAGUAUUAAUUCCAAUCCAUUGGUGGAAUCAGUCACUAGCACCAAAUAACGAUGUCCUUAUACUUUGGUAACGAGAGACUGCUGAGCUGAUAGAUGGCCUUCAUUUUGUGCAGCCAAUCUUCCCUUCCUUUCCAACCGUGGAACUCUCUUCUACAAUACACCCUCUUUACGUUGCAUUUUAUCCACUGGACAUUCACAGGCUCCUCAUCAUGUUCACAACAUCCUGUGUGUUAACCGUUACUAUGUCUCCGCCCACUAUUUCCUAACUGCAUGAAAUAAGUACGUUUGCCCAGCAGCCAAGAGAAAAGUAUGUUUCCACAUACUUCUUGUUCAAGAGAGUAUUUCCACAAGACUCACAUUUCCUCUUAGCAGCACCUGCCUUACUGGUGCUCAAAGCUUAACGAAAAUCUAUUUUCAAGAUACAUACAUGUCACUAUAUACUAUCGUGAGAUUCAUUUUCCUGUGGACAUUCACAAAGGGAAAAAGAAGUGCAGUGGGAUCAACGAAAGACUACGCACAAAACCCAAUACGCAGAAGAAAACUGUGUAAAUACAAAUAAAACAAAUGAUAAUAAAUAGAUAAGUACUGAGAACGUGAGUUGUAGAGUCCGUGAAAGUGAGUCCAUAGGCGGUGGAAUCAGUUCAGUGUUGAAUUGAGUGAAGUGGUCCCCACCGGUUCAGGAGCCUGAUGGUUGAAGGGUAAUAACCGUUUCUAAGCCUGGAGGUCUGGGACCCAAGGCUCCUGUAGCUCCGUAUUCUGUGCGCCACACGGUUCCCAGGAAGUCAUUGGAUUGCCUAGUGGGCGGGAGAGUUCAAAAGAAGCAAACGGAGGCAGUCAGGACAUUCUGCGCACCACAGUUCCCGAGGAGGUGGUGGAUUGUGUAUAAUUAGGCACUUGGCAAAGGACAAUAAAAAGAAAUUAGGUUUUAAGAGAGUGGCCAUUGUGUGAGUGGGCCAAUGUUAAAGUGGGGAGUUGAGGCUUUGGCGAGGAGAGGCAGAGGCUGUAGGAGAAGUGGGGAUGCAGGCAAGUUAAUGGAAUGGCCCUCUUGCGGGAUUUGGGAAGGCAGAGAGAUCUCCAGUGUCCCUGGCGACUACACCUGCAGUAAGUACAUCCAGCGGCAGCUUCUUCCAGAUCAUGUUAGGGAAUUAGAGCUGGAACUGGAUGAACUCCAGAUCAUUCAGGAGGCUGAGGGGUUGAUCGACAAGGCAUACAGGAAGGUGCACAGAUAACUGGGUGACAGUCAGGAAGAGGAAAGACAGCCAGUGCAGAGUACCCCUGUGGCCACGACAACUGGUGACCUAGCAGAGGAAAGCCACAGCAGUCAGGUCACCGACACUGUCCAAGGGAAGGGGGUAGAAAGGUGAGCUGUGGUGAAGGGGGAUUCAUUGGUUAGGGGGACAGACAGCAGGUUCUGUGGAUAAGCGUGAGAUUCAAAGGUGGCAUGUUGUAUCCCAGGCACUAGGGUCAGGGACAUCGCGGUUUGUGUCCACUGCAUUCUUAAAUGUUAGGAUGAUCAGUCAGAGGUUAUAGUCCACAUUGGUACCAAUGACAAGGGGUCGGAAGGUGCUAAGUUAAAGGACAGGUCCUCCAGGGUUGUGAUUUCACAAAUGCAACCCGUGCCACAUACUAGUGAGGCCAGAAAGAAGAUCAAGCAGUUUAACACGUGGCUAAGGAGAUGGUGCAGGAGGAGGGUUUCAGAUUUUUGGAUCACUGGGCUCUGUUCCAGGGGAAGUGGAACCUGUACAGAAGGGAUGGUUUGCACCCGAACCAGAGGGUGUCUAAUAUCUUUGCAAGGAAGGUUUGUUAGUGGUGUAUCGUGGUGGUGGGGAGGUGGAAGGAUUAAACUACAGAGUUGUGGGAGAUGGGAAUCAACUGCCAGAGCAGAUAAUCACUAACAAGAGGAAAUCUGCAGAUGCUGGAAAUGAAAGCCACACACACAAAAUGCUGGAGGAACUCAGCAGGCCAGACAACAUCAAUGGAAAAGAGUGCAGUCGACAUUUCAGGCAAAGACCUUUCAUCGGGACUGGGGAGAAAAGAUGAGCAGUCAGAGCAGGAAGGUGGGGCGAAGGCAAGAAACUCGAGGUGAUUUUUGAAAUCGGUGGGGGGGUGGUUUAGUGGUGAAGUAAAGAGCUGGAAAGUUGAUCAGUGAAAAAGAUACAGGACUGGAGAAGGGGGAAUCUGAUAGAGAGGACAGAAGGCCAUGGAAGAAAGAAAAGGGGAAGGAGCACCAGAGGGAGGUGAUAACAGGCAAGGAAGUAAAGUGAGAGAGAGAAAUGAGGAUGGAGAAUGGUGAAGGGGGGGCAUUACCGGAAGUUUGAGAAAUCGAUGUUCGUGCCAUCAGGUUGGAGGCUACCCAGAUGGAAUAUAAGGUGUUGCUCCUCCGACAUGAGGGUGGCCUCAUCAGGGCAGUACAGGAGGUCACUGGUGGUGGAUGGAGCAUAGAUGUUCAACGAAGCAGUCUCCCAAUCUACGUUGGGUCUCACCGAUAUACAGGAGGCCACACCAGGAGCCACGGAUACCGUAGAUGACCCCAGCUGACUCACAGGUGAAGUAUCGCCUCACCUGGAAGGACUGUUUGAGGCCCUGACUAGCAGCGAGGGAGGAGGUGCAGCAUUUGGUCUGCUUGCAAGGGCAAGUGCAAGGAGGGAGAUCAGUGGGGAGGAUGGACAAUAGAGUCACGUAGGGAGCGAUCCCUGCGGAAAGCAGAAAGUGAGGAUGAGGGAAAGAUGUGUUUGGUUGGAGACGGCAGAAGUUACGGAGAAUUAUGUGCGUCCAGUGGAGGCUGGCAGGGUGGUGGGUGAGGAAAAGAGCAACCUUUCCCCUGGUAGGGUGGCGGAAGGAUGGGGGUAAGAGCAGACGUGCGUGAAUGGGAAGAGGUGUGGUCGAGGGCAGCGUCGAUGGUGGAGGGAGGAAAGCUAUUUGAAGAAGGAGUACGUCUCCUUCAUUCUGGAAUGAAUGUCAUUCUGAGAGCAGAUGUGGCAAAGAAAGAGGAAUUGAGGGAAGGGGAUGGCAUUUUACAUGUAAUAUGGUGGGUAAAGGUACAGUCCAGGUAGCUCUGAGGGUCAGUGGGUUAAUAACAGAUAUUAGUAGAUAAGCUGUCUCCAGAGUCAGAGAGAUCAAGAAAGGGGAGGGGGAUGUCAGAAAUGGACCAGGUAAAUUAGAGGGCAGGGUGGAAGUUGGAGGCGACGUUGAUGAAGUCGACUAGCUUGGCAUGGGUGCAGGAAGCAGCGCCAGUGCGGUCGUCGAUGUAUCAGGGGAAAAGUGGGAGAGUGACGCCUGUGUUGGCUGGGAACUGUUCCGUGUAGCUGUCAAAAAGGCAGGCAGAGCUGGGACCCAUGCGAGUACCCAUGGUUACACCUUUUGUUUGAAGGAAGUGGGAGGAGCCGAAGGAGAAAUUACUGAGAGUGAAGACUAGCUCCACCAGACGGAGGAGAGUGGUUAGGUCUGGCGUCCAGAAAGAAAUGGAGAGCUUUGAGGCCUUCCUGGUGGGGGAUGCAGGUGUAUAGGGACUGGACAUCCACAGUGAAAAUAAGAUGCUCAGGGCCAGGGAACUUGAAAUCUGAGAAGAUCGAGUGUGUGUGAAGUGUCACGGAUAUAGGUAGAGAAGCACUGAACGGGGUGGAGGGGGGAUAAAACUGAGUAGAGAUAUGGAGUUAGAGUUCAGUGGGACAGGAACAAGCAUAAACAAUGGGUCUACCUGGAUGAUUUAUGAACCUUGGGUAGGAGGUAGAAACGGGAGGGAGGUGCAGGGUGAGGGAACUGUGAGGUUGCAGGCAGUGGAUGGGAGAUCCUCAGGGUUAAUAAGGUCAGUGAUGGUGUGGGAGACAAUGCCCUGAAUCCUGUUCGAGGGGUAAGAAGAAGUGUCUGACCGCUGUUGCUGGGCCUCAGCAAGGUAGAGGUCAGUCCACUAGACUAUUACAGCCCCCCACUGCCCGCCCUUCUGCGGGUUUGAUGGUGAGGAGGGUGACCGAAAGGAGUCAGGUUAGAAUUGGAGAGAGGUGUGGUGAAGUCGAGACAGUUGAUAUCCCGUCGACAGUUAACAUAACGAAAAGAUCCAGAACAGGUAGAAGAGUAGGGCGGGGUGUCCAGGAGGAAUAGGAGGGUUGAAGACGGGAGAAGGAGAUCAUCGGUGCGGGGUGGAGAGUCCUUGACAAAGAAGGGCUCAGCAUCAUGGCCGAUACAGGUGUGGAACUCGCAAAUAAGGAUGUUGUUAAACCUAAUGUGUCUGUACACAACUACAUCACUUAAAGCACAAACGCGGGAGAUGACUUUAACUGGACUAUUCACAGUGCAACGAGAGAAGACAGCAACCAUGUGCAAACAACAGAUAUCUAAGGAGAGGGGUGUGGGAAUCAUUGUUCAAAAGGCAGGAGAUCCAUCCAUACAAAGUCAGAAAUAGAAAGGUUGAGCGUGAUUGGAGUAAUGUUCUGAGCUGCGUAUAUUUCAAUGCAACCAGUAUUGUAGGAAAGUUGGAUGAGCUUAGGUCAGCGUGUGGAAUCAUGAUAUUAUAGCCAUUAGUGAGACCCAGUGGCGGGAGGGACAGGACUGGGUGCUCAGUGUUCCAGGGUGCCUCUGUUUGAGACAUGAUAAAGCGGGCACGAUUAAAGGGGGAGGGAUGCCAUUACUAGUUAGGGAAAAUGUCACUGGAGGCUAUAUGUGUGGAACUGAGAAAGAAGCGAGUGAUGACCAUGUUAAUGGGAUCAUAUUAUAGAACAUCCAACACUGUGAGGGAUUUAGAGGAGCAAAUUUGUAGUGAGAUCACAGACUGUUGCAAGAAACAUAAGGUUGUGAUAGUAGGUGAUUUUAACUUUCCACAAGAUGGUCUGGGACAGGACUCCCAUACUUGUCAAAACUGUUCAGCAAAGUUUCUCAUUCAACUAGAGGGGGUGCAAUUAGGGAAUGAGACUGGGAAGGUGACAGAAGUAGAGUGUCUCUUUGCAUCCAGCGAUCAUAGUUUCAAGCUAAUUAUGGAGAAGAAUAGGUUUGGUCCUCGGGUUAAGAUUUUAUACUGGAGAAAGGCCAAUUUUGAUGGAAUGAGAAAGGAUCUGGCAAGUGUGUAUUGGGAACAGGUUUUCUGGCAACGAAGCACUUGGUUAUAAAGGAGCAGAUGGGGUACUUAAGGAGCUUAAAAAUGUAAGAGAACACUUAAGAUAAUCAGGAGAGCUAAAAGAUGGCAUGAAGUCACUCAAGCAGACAAGGUGAAGGAGAAUCCCAAGAGAUUCUAUAAUAUUUUAAGAGCAAAAAAGAUAGCAACAAACAAAACUGGUUCUCUGGAAGAUCAGAGUGGUCAUCUAUCUGUGGAGCCAAAAGAGAUGGAGGAGCUUUGAAUAGAUUCUUUGCAUCUGUAUUUACCCAGGAGAUGAAGCCUAUAAAAAUGAAGCAAAAUAGCGGUGAGGUAAUGACUGUAUACAGAUUACAGAGAAGAAAAUUUUUGCUGUCUUGAGGUAAGUUAGGGUGGAUCCCCGGAGCCUGACAAGGGGUUCACUCAGAUCCUGUGGGUGGCAAGUGCAGAAAUUGCAGGGGCCAUAGCAGAGAUUUUUAAAACAUCCUUUGCCACGAGUGAAGUGCCAGAGGACUGGAGGAUAGCUAAUGGCAUUCUGUUGUUCAAGAAAGGCUCUCAGAUUAAGCCAUGAGGUUAUAGUCCAGUGAGCCUGACAUCAGUAGUGGGUUAAAUUAUUGGAAGGUAUUCUAAGGGACUAGAGAUAUGAGUAUUUGGACAGAUAGGGACUGAUUACGGAGUCGUGGUAUUGUGCGUGAAGGUCGUGUAAGCAAUCUUAUAGAGUUUUUUCAAGAAGUUACCAGGAAAGUUGAUGAAGGCAAGGCAGUGGAUGUUGUCUACAUGGACAUUAGCAAGGCCUUUGAUAAGGUCCUAUAUGGGAGGUUGGUCAAGAAGGUUCAAUUGCUUGGCAUUCAAGAUGCGGUAGUAAACUGGAUUCGACAUUGGCUUUGCAGGAGAAGCCAGAGAUUGGUAGUAAAUGGUUGCUUUUCUGACUGGAGGCCUGUGACUAGUGUUGUGCUGCAGGGAUUGGUGCUGGGUCUGUUGUUGUUUGUCAUCUAUAUCAACAAUCUGUUGCAGAUGACAUCAAGAUUGCUGGUGUAGUGGACCGUGAGGACGACUAUAAAAGCUUGCAAUGGAAUCUGGACCAACUGAAAAAAUGGGCAGAAAAAUAGCAGAUGAAAUUUUGAUACAGACAAGUGUGAGAACAAACCAGGAGGCAGGGAUGGGAACCAUAGGCUCAAUGGUUGUAAAGUCUUUGUGCCACUUCCUUUUGGGACAGAGAUGAAUUAUUCAACAAUCUGGUUGGAAAUGGUGAACAGAAGCAGAAGCUCUGGGGCACUGAAAGGAUGGCAAAAUCUUUCGAACCUGGAGGAAGUGCAAAGAGAUUAUAACGAUCAACUGAGAUGCAAACAAGCCAUCGGCACUUCUGCAGUGACGCGCUAAAUGGACUGGCAUCUCUGUGUGGGAGAAAUUGGUCAGUGAAGUGGGGUUGUUAGUGAAAGUAGUCAUUUUGCAGAGGGAUGUUGAAGGCACGUGG